rnacentral:tRNA from 1 species
GGGGGAUUGGCGCAAUGGUAGCGCGUGGCUCUCCUAAACUUGUUCAUCUUAAAAGAUUUAUGAGUGCUAAGCCAAGGUUGUGGGUUCGAGUCCCAUGUUCCUCG